AUGAAUGUUCAAGUCAUCAUCGCCCUUUUGUUCUGCCUUAUUGCAACAUGUGCUACACAGAAAGGUAAGCCACUAGUUCCUUGUUUCAGAAAUAGCUUUCAAAAUGUAACACUAGACAUAGCUCUCCAUGUAUUGUUAAAACGAAUUGGUGUCGUCGUGCUAAGAAUUACAAUUUGACAAGGAGUCUCCGAGUGGGUGAAUCCUGUCAAAACCAAACAUGUACAUAAAUCCUCAAUACACAAUCUAGUAAUGCAAUUCACUUCCAAAAUAUGUCUCAAAAAUUAGGCGCAAAAAAUUGGAAUGUCCUAGCGUCGAGUCACCGACUCAUUAAUCCCAUUAGUCCCAACUAUUUCUCAUCCAACAUGCAUAAUUACACCAAGAAAAAUUCCUCUUCCUGUUGUGCAAAUAACACAAAGCGCAGUGUGGCCUAGCUGGAAAUUAGGGACUCUUCUGGACAAAAAUCUUUCUGAAAAUAAAGCAAAAAAAAAACUAGAUAAAAGUGAGAUUCUGAAUAACAAGUAGCAAAUCGAGAAACAGAAACGGAAGAAAAUAUUCUUGGCCCAUUGCAUUUUAGGAACUCGUCUUAUGGGGCCCAGCAAGAAAACCCGACUAGACACAUUGAUAUUAUCUUUAAUGUAUUGUUUUUAGUCAAAGGAUCGCCUGAAGUACUCCCGGCAGCCAUGUACGAUGGGGAACUGAGCCACGAAAGCGUAAACAAGAUUAGUGCUCAGCUGCUGAAUGCUCUAUCAGAGUUGGAAGCACUUCAGGAGGGCAACCAGCAGCUCAAGAUGGCCGAAAAACGACGCAACAAGUUCGAGUUCAUUCGAUUUGGACGAAAGUAG